CUUGAUAGAUCUUUUAAGUUUUCCAAAGAUGAAAUUGUAGCCUCAAACUUUUCAGGAAUUGUGACUUGGACCUUUUGAACAAUUCUAGAAGCAUAAAAGUCAGUACCAAGGAGUCUUACUUUAUUGACAAUGCUAAGAAGUCUGUCAGAAUAUUCCUUGAUUGUCUCUGAUUCUUUCAUCUUUUGCAUCUCAAAUUCUCGGAUCAAAUUCAACACUUGCAUCCCUUUG
rnacentral:lncRNA from 1 species